UACGUAGGGUGCAAGCGUUGUCCGGAAUUAUUGGGCGUAAAGAGCUCGUAGGCGGUUUGUCGCGUCUGCUGUGAAAACCCGAGGCUCAACCUCGGGCCUGCAGUGGGGUACGGGCAGACUAGAGUGCGGUAGGGGAGAUUGGAAUUCCUGGUGUAGCGGUGGAAUGCGCAGAUAUCAGGAGGAACACCGAUGGCGAAGGCGGUUCGUCUGGGAAUGUCCUGACGCUGAGGAGCGAAAGUGUGGGGAGCGAACAGG
rnacentral:rRNA from 1 species